rnacentral:tRNA from 1 species
UGGGGUGUAGCUCAGUGGUAAGAGUGCAUACUUAGCAUGCACAAGGCCCUGGAUUCAAUCCCCAGCACUUAAU